rnacentral:rRNA from 1 species
GACGAACGCUGGCGGCGUGCUUAACACAUGCAAGUCGAACGGAAAGGCCCUGCUUGCAGGGUACUCGAGUGGCGAACGGGUGAGUAACACGUGGGUGAUCUGCCCUUCACUUCGGGAUAAGCUUGGGAAACUGGGUCUAAUACCGGAUAGGACCGCACUUUAGUGUGUGUGGUGGAAAGUUUUUUCGGUGUAGGAUGAGCUCGCGGCCUAUCAGCUUGUUGGUGGGGUAAUGGCCUACCAAGGCGGCGACGGGUAGCCGGCCUGAGAGGGUGUACGGCCACAUUGGGACUGAGAUACGGCCCAGACUCCUACGGGUGGCAGCAGUGGGGAAUAUUGCACAAUGGGCGCAAGCCUGAUGCAGCGACGCCGCGUGGGGGAUGAAGGCCUUCGGGUUGUAAACUCCUUUCGCCAGGGACGAAGCUUUUUGUGACGGUACCUAGAUAAGAAGCACCGGCUAACUACGUG